rnacentral:lncRNA from 1 species
GGACAGUAGUGCCUGCGAUCUGAAACUCACCAGGAAGCUCAAUUUUCCAGUCGCUGUUAAUGGAUCUCUUACUGGAAUCUUUUAAAGCCAGAAAACUGUGAGCAGGUUUGUCCUCAACCACUCUGAUCCGUCGGGCACCUGCAGGGAUCACAGCUGCUUCGAUGUAACACGAGAAACACUUGGGAACAGCCUUUGCCUUUGCCAUCACACAUGUGGAAACCUUCUUACAAUGACUA